CUGGAUCCGCCUCUGCAGUAGUGGAUCGGGAGCCUCGGAACGUUGCCACAUCUGGCUCAUCUCCAUGUGCGACUCGGCCACUAUUCGAUGUGCAGUUGACUGCAGGUACUUCAACACUUGUCCAUUCUUCGCCAUUAGCUUGGCCUUUUUUCCCAUAGAGGUGGAGGACCUUGUAAGACAUAAGGUGUUAAGCACAGCGCAAGAGUCAUUAACCCAAGGGAUGCUUACGCUGAACACAGGAGCACAUUUCGCCUGACCACCG